GACGGGCCCCGCACAAGCAGCGGAGCGUGUGGUUUAAUUCGAUGCUACACGAAGAACCUUACCAGGGUUUGACAUACAAGUAGUAGGGAAAGGAAACUGGACCGACCCUUCGGGGAGCUUGAACAGGUGCUGCAUGGCUGUCGUCAGCUCGUGUCGUGAGAUGUUCGGUUAAGUCCGCUAACGAGCGCAACCCUCGCUGUGUGUUACAAGUGUCACACGGAACUGCCGGUCAUAAACCGGAGGAAGGUGGGGAUGACGUCAAGUCAGCAUGGCCUUUAUAUCCUGGGCCACACACACGCUACAAUGGGAAGGGACAAUAGGUUGCGAAGCCGCGAGGCGGAGCCAAUCCAGCAAAACUUCCCUCAGUUCAGAUUGCAGGCUGCAACUCGCCUGCAUGAAGUUGGAGUUGCUAGUAAACGCAGGUCAGCCAUACUGCGUUGAAUACGUUCCCGGGGCUU
rnacentral:rRNA from 1 species